UACGAAGGGGGCUAGCGUUGCUCGGAAUCACUGGGCGUAAAGGGUGCGUAGGCGGGUCUUUAAGUCAGGGGUGAAAUCCUGGAGCUCAACUCCAGAACUGCCUUUGAUACUGGGAGCUCGAGUCCGGGAGAGGUGAGUGGAACUGCGAGUGUAGAGGUGAAAUUCGUAGAUAUUCGCAAGAACACCAGUGGCGAAGGCGGCUCACUGGCCCGGUACUGACGCUGAGGUGCGAAAGCGUGGGGAGCAAACAGG
rnacentral:rRNA from 1 species